rnacentral:rRNA from 1 species
GAUGAACGCUGACAGAAUGCUUAACACAUGCAAGUCGACUCGAGUCUUCGGACUUGGGUGGCGGACGGGUGAGUAACGCGUAAAGAACUUGCCUCAUAGUCUGGGACAACAUCUGGAAACGGAUGCUAAUACCGGAUAUUAUGCUUUCUUCGCAUGGAGGAAGUAUGAAAGCUAUAUGCGCUAUGAGAGAGCUUUGCGUCCCAUUAGCUAGUUGGUGAGGUAACGGCCCACCAAGGCGAUGAUGGGUAGCCGGCCUGAGAGGGUGAACGGCCACAAGGGGACUGAGACACGGCCCUUACUCCUACGGGAGGCAGCAGUGGGGAAUAUUGGACAGUGGACCAAAAGUCUGAUCCAGCAAUUCUGUGUGCACGAUGACGUUUUUCGGAAUGUAAAGUGCUUUCAGUCGGGAAGAAGCAAGUGACGGUACCGACAGAAGAAGCGACGGCUAAAUACGUGCCAGCAGCCGCGGUAAUACGUAUGUCGCAAGCGUUAUCCGGAUUCAUUGGGCGUAAAGCGCGUCUAGGCGGCAAGGAAAGUCUGAUGUGAAAAUGCGGGGCUCAACUCCGUAUUGCGUUGGAAACUGCCUUACUAGAGUACUGGAGAGGUAGGCGGAACUACAAGUGUAGAGGUGAAAUUCGUAGAUAUUUGUAGGAAUGCCGAUGGGGAAGCCAGCCUACUGGACAGAUACUGGCGCUAAAGCGCGAAAGCGUGGGUAGCAAACAGG